CCACAGCUCACGGCAGUGCCGGAUCCCUGACCCACUGAGUGAGGAGGUCAGGGAUGGAAACCGCAUCCUCAUGGAUACUAGUCGGAUUCACUUCUAUUGCGCCACAGUGGGAUCUCCUGGCACUGAGUUGUUAAUUUCAGUUUUGAUGUUUUUUUAUUUCUAGAAGUUCUGUGUGUUUCUUUUUUGGUGAAUCUGGUCAUUCUUUAUAAUCUCUUGUUUUCUCUUCCUAUUCAAAAUUUUCUUUAAAUAUAUGUUGUACUUAGUUCUUGUGUAUUUACCUGAAUAACUUAUUUCCCUCCAACUGUAUAAGGAAUAAUUGACAAGUAAAAUUAUAUAUAUUUAAAGUGUACAAUGUGAUGACUUAAUAUAUAUGACGUGAUGACCCAGUUUAUCUGAAUGAUUCUAAUAUCUGAUUUUCUUGGAUUUUGAGCUGUUGUUGCAAAAGCCGCCUUCUCUCCAAGGCUGCAAAGAAAUUCCCUCUUGCUCUUGCUUAGUAGUUUUAUGGUUUAAUUUUUUACAUUUUUACUCUGACCCAUUUGGAAUUUUUCCUGAUAUAUAGUGUGGGAGAGGGAUCAGCUUAAUUUUGUUCCAGAUGGUACCCAUUUAUCUCAACACAAUUAAUUGAAUAUUCCGUCUUUUCCCUGGUGAUCUGAGAUGCUACGUUUACCAUACAUGACAUUUCUAGGUAUAAUUGGGGCUACUUCUGGACUUUCUUUUCUGUUUCACUGGUCUGUCUAGUUAUAUACUUUUUAAUAUAUUUCUCCUAUCUGGCAGAUCUUUCAUUAUCUUUAUUUUUGCAGAAAUUAUUUUCUUUAAUAAGUCAUUUGUACCGAUGAUAAAAUUCACACGUUCCCAAAGGACAUACAGUGAGACGUGCAUUUCUCUCCCAGCUCUUCUGCACACCCAGUUCUCCCCCCAGGAAAUAAUCAGUGUUAUGGUUUCUUUUCUGUGUUUCUAAAGGUAAUCUUCUCCCUUUUCAUUUCAAAAUAAGGGGUCUAGAAAGUAUAAUGCCAAAAAAGACUGGCUCACAAUAGUGGGUGCUUAUGAUAUGGAAAGACUGACAUUUACCUCUCACAUGCCCUGGCGCCCCUGGUGCCCUCAGCCAACUUUGAGUCCUGACUUGAGACUGAAGGUUGGCCUGUCUGGAUCCUGGGCCAUCGUGGGGCUGCUUUCCCCUGGGAUGACUGCUUUGUAGUUCGCACUGCCCGCCACGGCCCCUGGGUGUUUGUCUAAUUCUCGAAACCAGGCCAGUGCCUUGGAGAACAUCCCUGCACUUCGAUCCUGCAUCACCACCUGAAUGCUGCAGUGCUUGUUCUCUUGUUUAGUGAUUCAUCUUCAAUGACCUCUUUGCAAAAGAGUUACCAAGCUCUCAUCGGGCGCGAGGUGCCGAGCUGGGUGUCGGAAGGCUAAAGCAUCAUGGUUGAUUUCAGCAGACUUGUAUUGAGUGCCUCUGAUGGGCCAGCCAUCCCAGGGGACAGAGCAGUGACUCCGGGGCUGGGACCGUGCCUUCCCCACCCCUGCUUCGUCACUGUGUUGAAGGGUAAGAAGACCAGUUAGAGGAAGGAGGAAUUUCUGGAGGAGGCAGUGUUGGGAAUGGCAGAUGCCGCUAGGAAACCGGUGAGGAUGAGAGCUGGAUUUUUAGUGAUGCACGAAGAGCAUCGUGGAUCCGACCUGUCUGAGGAGAGGCAGUGGCAGGGCAGUUGCUGGCGGCUAACAGGAAGGCAUUGGGAAUGUUUCAAGAGCUGAUCUCUCUCUCCUGCCCCAGAAGGGUGUCUCAGCUAUUCUGUGAAAAGCAGAACAAGUCAGGAGCUGCCCACCUGAUUAAAGGAGCAGCCGCCCAGGAGGGGUGUGGGGGCUCCCGGCCCCUCUGAGGAUGACCAUCAGGAGUGGCUUUAAAAGAGCUGCUCACGGCGAGGAAGAGGAAGUAAGAAUGCCACAAGCAUCUCUUCUCCCAGUAUCUUCCCGUUAAAAUAUCAGCAACUACUAAAACAUAUUUAUAGCCCUCUUACUUUCUUUCCCUGCCGGAGGGCUUCUGUGUCUAGUCAACCCAGAAUAAAAUACCGUGAAAGCAAAAAGCCACUCCUCAGAACUGUAAAUACGUUCUAGCAAGAAGACAAACGCAAAGGGUCCUAGCCACAGUCAGGCUCCCUCCAUCUCCCUGCCUGUCUCCUCCCACCGCCCCCUCCAGGUCUGGUUGCUGGGAAGAUGACACAAACGCUGCUGCUUCGGCCAGGCUGCCCGGCCUUCAGCUCCGACCCUGGCUCCCCCUGACCCCCGCCCGAUCUUGCUUCCCUCAGCUUCCACCAACCCCCUUCCUUUUUAGACAGGUGCCCUCCAUCUAGUGGCCAGAAAGCAUGUGUUCCCUGGUACUUCAGGAGGCCUGGAAGGUCUCCAGGGGACAUGUGUCGAACGGGCUUGAUAGAGGACACUUUUUAAUGCCCCCCUUACAGAGGGAGGCUCCUUCUCCGCCAGAGCUCGCAUUUCUUGCCCACAGAACUUCGAGAACCCUGUGGAAACCCAGGGCCUCUGGAAAAGACUAACCUGUUGGCUUCCCUUGCUGUCAAUACCCUGAUGGAUGAUCCCUGUAGUAACUGGUAACUGAGGUCUAGGCUUUGGUUAUCGUUUCUCUGUGGUCUCCGUUCAUCUGGAUAUUGACUUCUGUAAGUCAGUAUCUGCUGUGCAUUCUGAAAGUGAAGGUCCUUCCCUUGAGUAGCGUUUUCUUUGCCCUCCCCUUUCUGCCCCAGGCAGGCCCUGGCACUCUCCCAGAUUACGGUUGUGGUGUUUCAGAGUCUGAGUUUGGGGGCAAGGAGGGCAGUGCUUUGAAUGCAGGCGGAGGCAGGGCCGUUGAAGCAGUGGAGCACCUGCCAUCCUGGAGCGUUUGCUGUGUGUCAGGCACUGGCCGAGCGCUUGACAGCCUGCAAGCACUGACUCCUCAAACCAGCUACUUUGCUUAGGAGGAGCCAGGGCCUCGGGGUGUUUAAAUGACUUCUCCAAGGUCACUCAGUGCAGCUCUUCACCUCUAGUGGAGCAUUUCCUGGAGGCUCUCACUGGAACUGAACCUUAGCGGUUAAAAGGAGAGCCGUCCACUUGGCAUCUCCUCUGCCUCCUGUGGACAUCUCAUGGGGGGCGUAUACCCGGUCCAAGGCCCGCGUCUCUGCUCCACGGAGCCGCAGGCUGGCUCAGAAGGCAGAUGUGACUCCGGAGAGGGGUGGGCCGUCCCGUACAGGGCACAUGGCCCGGGCGUGCUGUGGCAGGAGACAGCCCCGCGGCCUGGCGCACGCGAGGAGGACGGGCUCCUGCAGGAUGGGCCUGGACGGCUGCACAGCCUCUGACAGGGAGGAGGGGAAUCGAGGGCUGUAGGAAGGAGCUGAAUGGGCAGAGAGGGGUGACGGUCAUUAGAGUGACAUGUGCUGGCCUGUAGGGAAGGGGUUGUCCGGUCAGUGGGGGAGAUGUUGGCUGUAGCAGCCACAGGACCCUGAGGUCCUGGGGGAGAAGCGUGCAGGUGGCCAGAGGAGGCCUGAGGACCGCCAGGAGGAGAGGGGAGGGUGGAGCCCAGUCGGGCGUGGAGAGGGCACAAGCAGUCAGUGGCACUGAGGCGGGGCCCGAUGCCCCUUCGUGACCCUUUUCGUGAGGGGAGGUGGAAUCCUGGGUGACAGAGCUUAGGCAAAUCCCCAGACAAGUGCCCUCAGCGUGGGAAUCUACUUGGGCUCACAGGGCGGGGCCGGGCUGUUAAAGGUGACCCCCGGAGUGACAGCACCUCUGGGGAGCUUCCGUGUUGUGAUGCACUCAUACUGCUCUAGAGACAGCCAGUCCUGAAGGAACCUAGAAAGGCUUCAUGUGCUCAGAUCUUUGUCUCCGGAGGCAGGUUGAAGCAGGCUGGGACAGAUGUCAAGGCAGGAGGGUGCUUAGGCUACCCAAUUGCCAAGGCCAGUGGGAUGGCUUAUAGCGUAGUUGCCUCUUCUCAUUUAUGCUGUGUAUCGAUAAAUUGUGCACAGGAUACACUCCAACAGCGUCCUCGGGUAGAGCGAAAUGUCUCCCCAGAAUCUGGCUGCCGAAGCCACUCCCAGGAGGCAAAGCUGUGCCACAUCUCCAAGAAUAUAUGUGACAGCAGGAUAGCAAGACACCAGGCGCUGCCUUUGUCCCCACGGAGGGCCGCCCACCAAAGCACUGCUCCGCUCCGGGCUCCCCCCGACCCCCGAAAAGGCCGUCUGGGACCUGGCACCCCGUCAGGGCUCUUUAAACAGGUUUCCUCUUUACACUCUUCAGAUCAUCGCGUUUCAGCAGACCUCGCGGAUUGUUCACCCCUUCCUGAGAUGAAUUAAGAACAAAUGGCUGUGAUUUUCCAUAUCAGAGCAAACUUACAUGUUUACCAUUUCCUUGUAAAUUAGAGUCCUUGAAAGCCCGUGAAUGGCGGCGGGGUUGGGGUGUGUGUGUGGGGGGGUUAGAGCGGGUCUCUCUGGCCUUCCCCAGGCACCCGGCCUUCCGCCCGCCGACCUCCUGGGGCCCUGACUUGGGCCGCCCCUGCAGCUGGCUCUGGUCCUGCCCCUGCCUCUCUGCACCCUGCUGAGUCGGACAAAAGCCCCAGACCCCACCCCAAGGCAGAGGCUGCCUGUGGGGCCGCUCUGGGUGCUGGAUAAUAUCAAGACAGGUCUGGCAGCUCCGAGGUUAAGCAGGUUCAAGUGCAUUUUUCAAACACAUGUAAACUGUUAAGCGUAACAGCAAAGGGGAACCGACCAGGGGAGAAAAGACCAGGUUUUCCGUAUUGCUUCCCCUCUUGGCUCUCACGCACAUCCGUCCGUGUAGCCACUAUAGAUGGAGGAAGCGGAGGAGAGGAAAGUGUAGUUUUCUCCCCCUGGCAUCAGCCUGCUAGACUCUUUUGAGAGAUAAAGUAUAUGGUUGCAGCCUCUGUAACUGCAGCUUACCUUUACCGAGCGUUCUAAGCACGUCACUUGGUAACUCGUUCAUCCUCUCGCGCCAGAGGACAGGUGCCUCAGUUACCAUCCCCGUUACAGAGCGGGAAGGGAAGGGGAGGCUCAGCUGGGCUGGCCCGGCCUCACAGCCAAGUGCGCGCGAGCCGGGAUGUGCCCCCGGCCUAAUCCUGCCGCCCUCUGGGGCUGUGCCCUCCGCGGGAAAAGGACCCAGCAGUAUUUCUUUUGUGAGAAGAGACGCUUCAAACGAUUCCGUUGAAGCCUCGACUCUUUUCCUCCGCGAGGCUCGUGUUGAGCGUUUGGCGCCGUCUCCACACGUCACCUGUAAGCUGUUAGGAGGCUCCUUCUACAAACCGUGACUUCAUCUCCCUAAAGGAAGAGAGACGGAAUGCUUCAGCACACCAGAUAGGGUUCGGUCCCAGACGUUUGGGGGGAAAAAAAAAAAAAA